rnacentral:rRNA from 1 species
AUUGAACGCUGGCGGCAGGCCUAACACAUGCAAGUCGAGCGAGCGGCGGACGGGUGAGUAAUGUCUGGGAAACUGCCUGAUGGAUGGGGAUAAAUACUGGAAACGGUAGCUAAUACCGCAUACCAUCAGAUGUGCCCAGCUGGGAUUAGCCAGUAGGUGGGGUAACGGCGCACCUAGGCGACGCUCCCUAGCUGGUCUGAUAGGAUGACCAGCCACACUGGAACUGAGACACGGUCAAGAGUCCUAAGGGAGGCAGAAGUGGGGAAUAGUGGACAAUGGGCGCAAGCCUGAUGCAGCAAUGCGGGGUGCGUGAAGAAGGCUUUCGGGUUGUAAAGUACUUUCAGCGGGGAGUCGUUAGCCGCAGAAGAAGCACCGGCUAACUACGUGCCAGCAGCCGCGGUAAUUC